ACGACACCAGGAGAUAUGUUGAAUCAUGGACAGGGACCAGCAUAUCCACUAAGCUCUAUAUAUCUUGAUGGUGCAGGAUCCAAGUGGGAUGCAACAACAAAUUCCUGCCCAUCCUACUGCUCAAUAAUACAUGUGCUCAGAAUCUGUUCAUAAUGCAUGGUGGACUCUAGCCCUGAUCUGCUCUCUUCUGGGAGCAUCUGAUAGAACAAACAGAAACCCCUCUCCCACUGUUCUCCUGUGUCCAGAGUGGGAGGCAUAACUGCUUUGCCUCCAGUCAUCAUCUGGGGGCAUAUCUACUCUUCGAGGACCAGGGGUUCGGGACCCUGGAAAAGGAUCUGAAUUCCAAGCUGACCUCAGGGGUACAUGAAGACUGCUAGAUGGUGGGUACACAGGAUGAACAAUGGGAGGGUGGGAGGGUAAAUGGAAAAGAUCACUCCAGGACUGAGUGUGAGGAACCUGAAGGCCCUUGCUUCUUUCUGGUAGUGUGGCAGUGUAGGUUAGCUGAGGAUUGCACCCUGGAGUAGUCAGGAAUCUGGUCCCAAUAUGCUGGUUGGUCUCUGACCAGGGUGCCCAGGAGUUGUCUGUUCUGGAGCGAUGGGGGAGGCUCUGGUAGUUCAAAGUCCUUCCUGUGUACUUGGCCCCUUGGG
rnacentral:lncRNA from 1 species